AGAUGGGAACUCAGAAAGAGAGAGAGAGAAGCAGUGUGUGUUUCUCAUCAACUCCAUCAUUUUAAAUUCUCAAGUCUCUGCACCUCUCUGGUUCGUAGAGGCUUCUUUCUUCUACAUGGACACCCGCCAUGUCUUCCUGUUAGCGUGAAGAGACGAAGAGCAGCCUUGCCCAAACCUGUCCCACACUUCUCCAGCUUUAUACAAUCAUGGGAAAAGGUUUCUACAUCAGCAAGCACCUGGCCAUAGCAGCUGUACUGCUGGCUGCAGCAGCUUUAGCCACCAUCGUAGCGUUAUCUAUAGUUUACUCUAAAGAAAAGGCCAAAAAGUCACAUCAGGUCAGCGAUGGACCAACAUCACGCAUGCCUCCCACUACACCACUAUCUAAUGAGCCCUGGGACAAAUACAGACUCCCCAACACCCUGAAGCCUCAGUUUUACAAUAUAAGUCUGUGGCCGAGGCUCAGCAUAGACGCUAAGGGUAUGUACGUUUUCACCGGCAGUUCUGGAGUAGCUUUCACAUGUGAGAAAGAGACGGAUCUGAUCAUCAUUCACUGCCACAAGCUCAACCUGACUCUUUUUGAUGGACGCCACGCAAAGCUAACAGGCAUGCAGGGAGCAACGGCUCCAGCCAUCAAGAAAACUUGGUUCCAGUUGGAAACGCAAUACUUGGUGGUUCAGCUGAAGGGGAGGCUAAAGCCAGGAAAAGCCUACUGGCUUUAUACCGAGUUCAGAGGAGAGCUGACGGAUGACCUGCAGGGAUUCUACAGGAGCGAGUAUGAAGAGGACGGGGUAAAAAAAGUUGUCGCCAUAACACAGAUGCAAGCAACCUACGCCAGAAAGGCUUUCCCCUGCUUUGAUGAGCCAGCCAUGAAGGCCAUAUUCUACAUCACUCUUAUUCACGAGCCAGGAACCAUCGCACUGUCUAACAGCAGAGACGUGGGUGAGACAGACACUGAGACUGCAUCUAACACUGCAACUACAACCUCCUAAAAGGACUGGGUCAAAAAAAAUCUUAUUCAUACAUAUAUCUUCUUAGCCCAAAUGUAGCAACUGUUUGGGCCUCCUAAACACUGGGAAAAGUAUACGUUUCUUGAGAAAAUGUAGGGGUUCUUCAAUAUAAAUUAGAAAAUUACAGAACUAAACUCACAUGAGAACUUGUGAUGCCAUUGCGUAUAUCUCUAGAGAGGAGAAUACCCACUUGACAAUUUUGUAACACUUCACUUGGAUGGUCCAUUUUAUGGCCUUGUUGAUGCUCAACUGACAUUCAACUAACACUGAAUUGAAUGUCCAUUAAAUUUAACUUAACCCAUGUUGAAUGUAAAUGAUUAAAAAUAGAACCUAACCCUACACCUAAC
rnacentral:lncRNA from 1 species